rnacentral:rRNA from 1 species
CGCGUAGGCGGUUUCUAAAGUCAGAUGUGAAAGCCCGGGGCUUAACCCCGGAAGUGCAUUUGAAACUUAGGGACUUGAGUAUGGGAGAGGGAAGUGGAAUCCUGGUGUAGCGGUGAAAUGCGUAGAUAUCAGGAGGAACACCGGUGGCGAAGGCGACUUCCUGGACCAAUACUGACGCUGAGGCGCGAAGGCGGUGGGGAGCAAACA